GAUGGGGUGACAGGAAAGAAAGGUACAAAACAAGCAGAGGAGGAGGAGGAGGAGGAGAGGGAGGAGUGGAGCCCCAGACAGGCAGGCAGGCCAGCGAUGCGAGCCCAGAGCGUAGCACCAUGGACCAGGCACCAGAUCACAGCCCCCCCCUCCAUGGGGAUGUCACACUGCAUGAAUCAUUUAUGAGCACAGCUUUUCAUUAGAAAUCACACUGUGUGUGUGUGUGUGUGUGUGUGUGUGUGUGUGUGUGUGUGUGUGUGUGUGUGUGUGUGUGUGCGUGUGUGUGUGUGUGUGUGUG